rnacentral:rRNA from 1 species
CCCUUAGAUGUUCUGGGCUGCACGCGCGCUACACUGAUGCGAUCAACAAGUUUUUCCUAUGUCGAUAGACACGGGUAAUCUUUUGAACUCGCAUCGUGAUGGGGAUAGAUUAUUGUAAUUAUUAAUCUUCAACGAGGAAUUCCUAGUAGGUGCAAAUCAUCAGUUUGCAUCGAUUACGUCCCUGCCCUUUGUACACACCGCCCGUCGCUGCUACCGAUUGGUUGAUCUGGUGAAUUAUUCGGACUGCCGGCUGAAGGGGUUUCCUCAUCUGCCAGCGGAGAGUCUUGUUAACCCUAUCAACUAGAGGAAGCAGAAGUCGUAACA